rnacentral:rRNA from 1 species
AAAUUGAAGAGUUUGAUCAUGGCUCAGAUUGAACGCUGGCGGCAGGCCUAACACAUGCAAGUCGAACGGUAACAGGAAGCAGCUUGCUGCUUCGCUGACGAGUGGCGGACGGGUGAGUAAUGUCUGGGAAACUGCCUGAUGGAGGGGGAUAACUACUGGAAACGGUGGCUAAUACCGCAUAACGUCGCAAGACCAAAGAGGGGGACCGUUCGGGCCUCUUG